rnacentral:rRNA from 1 species
AUUGAACGCUGGCGGCAGGCCUAACACAUGCAAGUCGAGCGGAUGAAGGGGGCUUGCUCCUGGAUUCAGCGGCGGACGGGCGAGUAAUUCCUAGGAAUCUGCCUGGUCUAGGGGGAUAACGUCCGGUAACGGGCGCUAAUAUCGUACACGUCAAGAGGGUGAAUGUGGGGGAUCUUCGGAGCUCACGCUAUCUGCUGAGACUAGGUCGGAUUAGCUAGUUGGUGGGGUAACGGCGUACCAAGGCGACGAUCCGUAACUGGUCUGAGAGGAUGAUCAGUCACACUGGAACUGAGACACGGUCCAGACUCCUACGGGAGGCAGCAGUGGGGAAUAUUCGACAAUGGGCGAAAGCCUGAUCGAGCCAUGCCGCGUGAGUGAUGAAGGUCUUCGGAUUGUAAAGCACUUUUAUUUGGGAGGAAAGGCAGUAAGUUAAUACCUUGCUGUUUUGACGUUACCAACAGAAUAAGCACCGGCUAACUUCGUG